CGGCAGGUAUGGGCUAGCAGCUUCGUGGCUGUCCCUCCACCUGGGUCCUGCUGCCCAUUACUAAUUGGAGGUGGGGCUAUUAAAAGGGGUGGGGGACAUGCAACAAUUGCCUCAGACCCAUUUCCACACCGAUGGUGGCGCUAUGCACUAUAUUGUCGACCGCUCUUUAUUAUAGGAGCUAAUCCCUGCGGGGCUGCUCUGCUUUGGCAGUUACUUCCAGGUAUACCUAUUUAGGUUUGGGGCCAUUACCAUUGAUGCCCCCUGAUGAGCACUCGUACAAUUAAUCUUUUUGUGACUUGGUGCCUUCUGUGACUUCAGAGUUUUUGCAUGCGUCCGACAUACCCCAUCGUCAUUUUCACUGCCAAGUGACCGUAUGUACUCCGCCAUAUGGCACACAUUCAUCUAUUCUCCUUUAUAUUAAGCUUGGGUCUGAGGUCUUUACGUAAUUAUCUAACGCAAUUUUUAAAUUACGCAUCAUUAUCGGACGGGGCCUGUUGUACUUAGGUUUAUGGGCUCCGUGUCUGUAUUAUACCUACCUCGUAUUACCCCCUGAUGAUCCCACUUUGUGGGUGAAACGCGUCGGGGUUGUGGUAUAUCAUAUCUUUAUCCUUUUAUUACCGUAUUAGUUUGUCCAUGUGCGUGUGUUUGUCUGCGUAUUUUAUUUACUAGUCAAACCCUGUACCUCCUGGCGAUCCGUCACGAGGGUUGUAUACAGUGGACACCUCUUCUCCUCCUCUUUUCUGUGCUAGUCAUCCGUUGGGGGGCCACCCUUACAUUAGCUUCUCUCCACCUGUCACCUUAUCAGGGUUAGACAGGAGGUGAGGCUAGGCUCGAGGACAGGGAGUCCCCACCAAUA